CCUCACCAAAGUUCUCAAACACUAAUCACUUCCCCAUUCUAAUUCUCUCUCUAUACACUUUCCACACUAAUCAAUUCCUCACUCUAUUCUCUCUUUAUACACUUUCCACUCUCUAUAGUCUCUCUAUCACACAAUACUGUUGGAGCACCGCCGUCCAAUGGGCUCACAACCAUCAACGUAGCAUUACAACCAUCGAGAAAUGGCACCAUGAACGCCACGACACGAUGAAGCUCUGCAUGGGCUUUGCUUAUAGCACUGUUGCAUGCAAAUCCUCAACGCGCAGCGGCGCUGUGUAGAGAAGCAGCUUGCUACUCUAGAUUGGGGUGGGAUGGGGUACUGUUAUGAGCUGGUGUGCAGAGAAACGAUGUAUAGCUCUACGCGCUGCCCUGGGCUACGACAAUCACCACCGAGUACCUGCUGCAACAACAGUGUGCUGCCCUGAUUUUGGAUUUGGUUUUGUAGUGAUUUUAUCGAUGGUGUUUGCAGUUGGUAAUGGUGGAGGUGACGGCAACGGUGUCUGUGAGUUGGUAGUGAUUGUGGUGACUUAUUAUAUAAUUAGUAUGUGAAUGGUUGGUGGUGGAGCUGGUUGUUUGUGGCUGAAGAUCUGAUAAUGGUGUUUGUGGUGAUUUUUGUUGGUAGUGGAUUGGAUCUAGUGGUGACGGCUUUUGUUGUUUAUGGUGUUGGUACUAUUGUGGUGGUGGCAGUGGCAAAAGGUGAGAAUCGUCGCAAGUGGCCGUAGUGGCAAUGAUAGUGGUAUAUAUAUGAUCCAUUAUUAGGUGUAUGUGACCAAUUAUUUUGUUAUCUGUGACCAACUAUUCAAUUGUGAUCUAAAAAUUUGAUAAUAUAUAAUUGAAAAUAAUUUGUGACCAACUCAUUUGAAAAUCUAUGUUCGGCAAAUAAAUGGUGACCUAUAAUGUUUUUGAUUUGAGACCAAUGAAAUAAUUUGUAACCAAUUAAUUUGAUAAUGUGAUGUUGUGACCUAUAAUUAUGCAUCUCGACCAUAAAUUGUAUAAUUG
rnacentral:lncRNA from 1 species